rnacentral:rRNA from 1 species
AGUGAACGCUGGCGGUAGGCCUAACACAUGCAAGUCGAACGGCAGCACAGUAAGAGCUUGCUCUUACGGGUGGCGAGUGGCGGACGGGUGAGGAAUACAUCGGAAUCUACUUUUUCGUGGGGGAUAACGUAGGGAAACUUACGCUAAUACCGCAUACGACCUACGGGUGAAAGCAGGGGAUCUUCGGACCUUGCGCGAUUGAAUGGGCCGAUGUCGGAUUAGCUAGUUGGCGGGGUAAAGGCCCACCAAGGCGACGAUCCGUAGCUGGUCAGAGAGGAUGAUCAGCCACACUGGAACUGAGACACGGUCCAGACUCCUACGGGAGGCAGCAGUGGGGAAUAUUGGACAAUGGGCGCAAGCCUGAUCCAGCCAUACCGCGUGGGUGAAGAAGGCCUUCGGGUUGUAAAGCCCUUUUGUUGGGAAAGAAAAGCAGCAGGUUAAUACCCCGCUGUUCUGACGGUACCCAAAGAAUAAGCACCGGCUAACUUCGUG